AGAGGGGAGGAGAGGCGGUCCUUUUCUCUGUUCACGUGACAUCUCUUAACUGAAAAGCUCCUCCCUCACUGGAGAGCUCUCGGCAGGCGUGCCGGGCUCCUGUCGCUUCUGAGAAGGGCAGCCUGGUGGACUCAGUUUCCGCAGCCCUUUUGCGCCUGGCUGGGACGGGGCAGUGGAGCAGAGGAGGAGGGCAGCAGCGUGGAGGAAACUCAGGAGGAGAGGGAACUUCUCUGGAGCUGCAGCAAUGAGACCCGAAGCUCAACUGGACUUCAGAGCAGAAGCUGCUAAGUGUAGACUCCAAGAUAAGCACCCGAGUUGACCUAACAACAGGCUUCAAUUUGACUCACGAAAGCUGAAGAGUGGGGCAGUCAGAGAUGGGAACAGCUGUCAUCCUGAGGAAAUGGCAAGUGUCCUCUGACACCUGCCACUGCUUGUAGGCAUGAUCGAGAUGAGAACGGCAGAUCGGGAGUGUGCUGGUGGAAUCAGAACUGAGAGCCUUCAAAUGCAACUGCCACCUGGCCCUGCUCUAGAACCCCAGGGCCUUGAAUGUGCAGCCGGGCCAUUUCAAAAUGAUCACCUGAGCCCACACCCGUCACUCUCCUCCCUCUAAGAUGCUUCCUGAACAGACCAAAGAAAUAUAAAAAUGGAGAAAAUCUGUGUCAGUAUCGGAGCACGGGGAUCGUCCAGAAACUCAGAAGAAUUUCCAGGAGAAAGUGCGCUGGGGACCAGAGUGAGAGGCCGCCUAACUGCCACACGUGUGAAGUGUCCAGCCCCACCGCAGUGGAGACCCAGAACUUCAGCUCUGUUGCUGGGCUCCUUUCUCUUCAUUUCUAAAUGUGAAGGCUGACAUCCCUCUCUGUCAACGGCGUUUGGGACAAUCAUGCAGGAGCCUCAAGCCAACCUCCAAAUGAAACCUUAGACCUCUUGACGCUGCUGUCUUUUUAAAUAAAUGAAGGAGCAGCUGGUCCAUUUGUAAUAGAAAUAAGGCAAAAGGAAUCAGCGACUGGGGUUCAGCACAGGUUUAAACUGCUGCCCCGGGGAAGAACUGAGUCAGAAGUCCUCUCCAUGUUGAAAUGAAAGCCUGAUAUUGGCUUCAGGGGCUCAGCUACAGUCAGUCAUCUCCUGUUUCCCACCGGGCCCGCUCCGGGGAGUGAGCAACGGCAGUGCGGGGAACCAGCACCGUUUGGACACCUAGACUAUUACUUUUAAGCAGAAGAGGAGGAGGACAGCUAAUAUUUAAAUAUUAUUAGGGUACCGCAUUAGACACAGAAUAAAGGACACAAGAAAUGCUCUACUGGUUUUAGCCUCUUCAUGACCUAAAAUUUCUGUCUCACGGCAAUUCAAAGAAUCAAAAAGUCUGAUCUAGAGAUGGGGGACUUCCUCAAGUGUGGAAGAUUCUAACAGGACAGGGCGUGAUUGCCUAACUAACAUCAGUCUCAAUAAAAGACAGCUUGAAAAUGAACUGAUUAUAGUGACACUGCAGUGAUUAUAAGUCACAGAAUAUUUCCUGUGUGCCGUCGUAACUCCAGAAGUCAUUCCACACAGGACCUGUGGAAGAAUCCAAGCAGUAUUAAAGGCUGUUUAUUAUUUCAAGCCAGUGGCAUCUCAGGAGACCAUGUAUCUUCAAGGCCUUCACAAAAAUGUAUCCAAGACACUCAAACAGCAAGUCUACUCAAAUAAGCUUCCCAAGCAGCUUUUCUGUACAUCUCAGCUGCUUCCAGACGAUUAGCUGAUGUUGUUAUGCCCCGGCCCACAAUGAUGAUAUCAGAACCUCGUUUGCCAAUCACUUCUUGUGGGCUGUUGUAUUGCUGGCCAAGAUUAUCACCUACAAAACCACAAAAGUUUGUUUAAUUAAUACAGUAAAUCAGAAAACCUGUCAUAUGACUUUUCUGAAAAGUAUCUAACCUGCUUUAAAUAAAAAUAUGCUCUUGUUCACCAUG